rnacentral:sRNA from 18 species
UGGGCUGGCAGAAAUGUCAAGGUCCAACCUAUCGGCGGGGAGACUCCCC